rnacentral:rRNA from 1 species
UACGGAGGGUGCAAGCGUUAAUCGGAAUUACUGGGCGUAAAGGGUGCGUAGGCGGGUUUUUAAGUCAGGGGUGAAAUCCUGGAGCUCAACUCCAGAACUGCCUUUGAUACUGAAGAUCUUGAGUCCGGGAGAGGUGAGUGGAACUGCGAGUGUAGAGGUGAAAUUCGUAGAUAUUCGCAAGAACACCAGUGGCGAAGGCGGCUCACUGGCCCGGUACUGACGCUGAGGCACGAAAGCGUGGGGAGCAAACAGG